UGGGGAAUAUUGGGCAAUGGGGGAAACCCUGACCCAGCGACGCCGCGUGGAGGAAGGAGCCCUUCGGGGUGUAAACUCCUGUUGUAAGGGAAGAAGGCAGUGACGGUACCUUACGAGGAAGCCCCGGCGAACUACGUGCCAGCAGCCGCGGUAACACGUAGGGGGCGAGCGUUGUCCGGAAUUACUGGGCGUAAAGCGCACGCAGGCGGAUGCGCGCGUCGGCUGUGAAAUGCACCGGCUCAACCGGUGCACUGCGGUCGAUACGGCGCAUCUGGAGUGCGGGAGAGGGAAGCGGAAUUCCCGGUGUAGCGGUGAAAUGCGUAGAUAUCGGGAGGAACGCCGGUGGCGAAGGCGGCUUCCUGGCCCGCAACUGACGCUCAUGUGCGAAAGCCAGGGGAGCGAACCGG
rnacentral:rRNA from 2 species